CUUUGAGCCAAAGGGUUUGAACCUCUUCUCAGGUUUAAACAACGGAGCCUGUGAUAAACUGCAUUGCAUCCUACUGUAAGAUCUUCAGGGCUUUACAAGGGUAGCAAGUAGAUUUUCCCCUGUUUUAAAGAUGAGGAGAAACUGAGGCAUAUUAAGAAGACCUCUUUGCAUAAGGUUUCCUUAUUAUGGCGUAUGCUUCCCUCCUCCCCUCCCCCCCAACCAAAAUCUAUAGUGGAAUAUACCGUUUUGUCUCUGAAAAGUAUUAUGAACAAACAGAACAUAUGUGCAGUAAAAAUAUAAAUAACAGAUUCUAACUCCAGAAGGCAUCACCAUGUUAACUAUUCUAUGUAUACCCUGUAAUCACAGAAUUUACCCUUCUUCUUGGGUAAGUUAGCCUGCACUAAGCUCUGGCCAUAGGUGACUGGUAGGGGGUGCAUGGAGGUACACGUGCCCCCCUCAUGAGUCUGGUGCCCCCCCUGACAGCCAACACCAAUGCUGUUGGUAGGGCUUGUGCCUCCC